rnacentral:rRNA from 1 species
UGGGGAAUAUUGCACAAUGGGGAAACCCUGAUGCAGCGACGCCGCGUGAGCGAAGAAGUAUUUCGGUAUGUAAAAGCUCUAUCAGCAGGGAGGAAAAAAUGACGGUACCUGACUAAGAAGCACCGGCUAAAUACGUGCCAGCAGCCGCGGUAAUACGUAUGGUGCAAGCGUUAUCCGGAUUUACUGGGUGUAAAGGGAGCGCAGGCGGUGCGGCAAGUCUGAUGUGAAAAGGCAGGGGCUCAACCCCUCGGACUGCAUUGGAAACUGUUGAUCUUGAGUACCGGAGGGGUAAGCGGAAUUCCUAGUGUAGCGGUGAAAUGCGUAGAUAUUAGGAGGAACACCAGUGGCGAAGGCGGCUUACUGGACGGUAACUGACGUUGAGGCUCGAAAGCGUGGGAGCAAAACAGGAUUAGAUACC